GUGUGCCGGGGCGAGGCGAUGUUGAGAAAAUGCUUGGAAGCCACUGUUGAGAGAUGAAGCGCUUUUAAAAAGAUUCCAACAAGUGACUCUUAUCAAUGUGGACAUUAUGAAGGUCUAUGUUUACUACAGGUGGGGUUUUCUGGAUGAUACCUCAUUCCCUGCGAUCCUGUUUGUCCACUACUGGAAAAGCCAAAAUACAUUUCAUUCCACCUGACACGUGCUGGGGACAAGCUUGCCUACAAAUGCCCACGGGAACUGGCUCAGAUGGGCUUUCUCUAAUAGUGAGUUUUCUUAGAGCCCUAGCUGCCAAUUGUAUUAUCUUGUCUCUUUCCCAGGACUUUUCCCAGGAAAUGUCC
rnacentral:lncRNA from 1 species